CCGUCCUGGGCUAAGAUUCUGGAAGCCUCAGCUUUCUGAGGGUCUAACAACAGGGCCCAUGUGGAGGCUGAAUGUGACUGCAGGCUGAUGUAACAACUUGCCUGAGAAGUGAUCAGAUUUGGAACUGAAUUGUGGCCAAGAGAAAAGGAAUCACUGAUGCCUGUGGCCACACUCCGCAAGCAUGGUUGCUGCUCCCGAGACCUUCUCACACACCUCGUGUCUGGGGAAGCACGUGACCCACGAAGGCACAGCUGCUUCUAUAUCCAUGGGAAAACCACACAAGGGAUGAGAUGAAGCGUCUGUUUAAUUGGCCUGUGAACUCUCACAACCUGUUUUUCGGCUCUUCUCUGUUUUAUAAGCAUCUGGAAAAGCCAUCUCCUGAUGUCACCCUCAGGCCUGGACAUGCCUAUUGCUCUGUCAUUUGUACAGGCCCCUGUGGAUGGCUCUCGGUUGGUUCAUCAAAAAAGGUGAAAACAGGACAUUGGUUUAUGCCAGCCAAUAGGUUUAGGCAUGUGGUAUCAAGAGAGACAAGGUCGCUAACAGCCAAGUGAACUCUGGUAUAAAGGAGAACUCAGUGUCCGUGUGUUCCCCAGCAAGUUCAGGGACAGGAUGCUGGGAGGAAGAAUGACAGGAGACAACUUGAAAGAGAAUGGGGGUUCUCAUGUAGGGAGGUAGCUCUGACGCAGGCUCGGGCUUUCCCUCAAAAUGUAAUUUUCUGAACAUGAGAGUUUGAUUGACAAUAUGAGACUUGAGACCCAAGCAUAGAAGGACUGGAGGAGGAAGUGGGCUCCAUGUUUAAUCUUCCUGUGAUGACUUAAAGCUGCCAGUGACAGUGACAGUGUUAGCCGCCAUCACAGUAAAUAAACUUACUACACAAAAGGGAACAGUAACUCAAUAUUCUGUGGGUUUCUCGUUAAAAAUAAAUAAAGUGGCCAAGCAUGGUGUCGGAACACAGUCCAGGAAUGGAGCCAUGUGAGGAGGAUUCUGAGCGCUUGUGAGAACAUUCCAAGAAAACAAGUCUUGUGACCUCAGUUUCUUCAAAGCAUGGACUUGUUCUUGGAAUGUGUUUUUGUGCUCCUCCCAGGUGUAGCGAUAGCAGUGAGUUUACUUCAGAUUACUCAUUAUUGCUUGGUGCUCUUAUUCAAUUAAAUGUUUAACUAUCCUUUAUAUGCCUGUAUGGAAAAACAUGUUUUUUGUUUGUUUGUUUGUUUUUGCCACAAGUGGCUUGUUCUUAUGAUUAUAUACCGCAUGAACUCAUGGGAACUUUACCCAUGCGAUUUCUUUUCUUAACCCUCAGAGUAUAAACUGUCUGAGGCUCUGAAUAAAGUUGGCUAUUGUAUGAGA